GAUGAACGCUGGCGGCGUGCUUAACACAUGCAAGUCGAACGAUGAUGCCAGCUUGCUGGUGGAUUAGUGGCGAACGGGUGAGUAACACGUGAGUAACCUGCCCUUGACUCUGGGAUAAGCCUGGGAAACUGGGUCUAAUACCGGAUAUGACUGACCGUCGCAUGGUGGUUGGUGGAAAGCUUUUGCGGUUUUGGAUGGACUCGCGGCCUAUCAGCUUGUUGGUGGGGUAAUGGCCUACCAAGGCGACGACGGGUAGCCGGCCUGAGAGGGUGACCGGCCACACUGGGACUGAGACACGGACCAGACUCCUACGGGAGGCAGCAGUGGGGAAUAUUGCACAAUGGGCGAAAGCCUGAUGCAGCGACGCCGCGUGAGGGAUGACGGCCUUCGGGUUGUAAACCUCUUUCAGUAGGGAAGAAGCCGCAAGGUGACGGUACCUGCAGAAGAAGCGCCGGCUAACUACGUGCCAGCAGCCGCCGUAAAAC
rnacentral:rRNA from 1 species